UACGUAGGGUGCAAGCGUUAAUCGGAAUUACUGGGCGUAAAGCGUGCGCAGGCGGUUGUGUAAGUCAGAUGUGAAAUCCCCGGGCUCAACCUGGGAACUGCAUUUGUGACUGCACAGCUGGAGUGCGGCAGAGGGGGAUGGAAUUCCGCGUGUAGCAGUGAAAUGCGUAGAUAUGCGGAGGAACACCGAUGGCGAAGGCAAUCCCCUGGGCCUGCACUGACGCUCAUGCACGAAAGCGUGGGGAGCAAACAGG
rnacentral:rRNA from 1 species